GCAACCAGGUAUGAUUCUCAUCCAUUUUAUUUAUUUAUUUAGUUGCCCAUCCAUCAGUGUUUGCAUUUCUUUAGCCUUCUCUAAUCUUCCAAAGCAUCUCUGUAUGAGUUCCUGAGAAAGAAAUCUGCUACUAUCAAGGGUCAGUCGUCUCAUAUUGUUUUUGUUUAUUUGGAUGCAUGUCAUCUGUUACCACAGCAACCACUCACUUUUCUCCCUGGAGUGCACACAGAAAUCACAUCUUUGCUGUCACAAAAAGUAGGACAUGUGCAAAAAAAAAAAAUGCUCACACAGGCUACAACACCAUACAGAUGUGAGGCCCACAUGCAUAAACUUGUAUUUGCUCACAGCUCAUGGGCAAAGUACAGUGGAGUGCAAUUAGAUCACUAGUUGCUGUUAUACAAGGUGCUUAGAAUCCUUGUCAGACUAAAAAAUUCAUUUAAUCUGGUAAAAACUACAUUUUAAUGUUGGUGAAUCAUACAAAUUCUCACAAAAUCUGUCCGUACCUGCUCUCAAAAUCCAAAGAAAUAAAGAGAACAUUUUUUUUUUAAAUCAAGAAUGUUUGUCGAACCAUUCAAUUGCAUUGUGAGAAAUAAAUAAUAAUAAAUAAAUAAAUAAAUAAUAAUAAUAAUAAAACAAUCAAUUGUUUAGUCUGGUAUUUGAGAAGAUUGUAUUUUGUUAAAGUUACUAAAUAAAUAUAUCUAAACAAAUUAAGAAAAUAAUGUAGAUGGAAAAAAUGAAAUGUAAAAUGAAAACGUUGCAAUGCAAAAAUCCCAGUUGUUUUCAAAUAUGCUUCAUUUUUUUAAUGCAAAUUAUAAUUUUGAUUAUAUUAAAUACAUAUGUUGUUUUUUUUGUCUUCUAGGGUGAAAUGUGACCUGGGUAUAUUUACUGAGAUGCAUUCAGUGGUGCACACUCGUCGAAAAGCUGUCAUCUCUUCUGGUGUCUGCAGAGAAGGAUCAAAGCGGGAACAGGCAGCCAGCGAGAGGGGGAAAGAGAGAGAGAUUUUGGGGUGAACCAGAGGACGCAGCCUCUUCUGUUAAACAGGGUAACCCAGUUGCUGCAAGAUUGAAGGAAGCCUGCUUCUCUGUAAACAUAUUCAAUUAAGACAUCAAACUUCUAACCGUACGAUGAAAAAGAAUGCCGAUGAGGAGAAAGACGGGUUCGGGGUCGAACUGCAUGCCUCCGCUGCUUUUCUCUGAUUUAGAAACAGACUUCUUUUGAUUAAAUAAUCAUCGCUUCGUAUAAAUGCAAGUUGCGGACCAGACGUGCGCAUAGACACAGCUGAAAUUUAAUGAGCUCGGUAAGAUGCCGCAGUAGUGCUGCUGUUUUUAAGACCUCUGAAUAAAACUUCUUUAGAUCAGGGGUGCUCAUGCUGCGUUCCAACGGUUUCCAACGUCCUACUUGGAAAAGUGCAAUAGAAUGCCACAAACCGGACUUCCAACUGUGAAACCAGAAUUUGGAUCAGCAUACUACUCUUACUGUUUCUUCUAUAUUUAUAUAUGGUAGUAAUAUUCCAAAUUUAGAUUAUGUUUUCUGACAGGUUUCCUGACCGCGCCCCCAUCGGUCGUUAGUCAGACAAACAGAUAUCCCCGCCCUAAUCUUAUGUUAUAGAGUGCAACAAUCGGGUUUCUGUAAGACGUUUCUCCAUAGCCUAAUUGAUUUUUAACAAUAGCUUAAACCUUUGAAGACAGACCAGUGAGCUACAAGGUUGAUAAUCAAGGGUAUGUGGUUUUGUUGACGAUAUCAGCCCACUUUAUUAAAGGAAUAAUUUUUAACAGCAGUAUUCCUGGUAAAAAACUGUUUUAGAGACAUUUGGAGAAACGAUUUCACAUCUGUGUUGCAUGGAAUUGUGGGCAGUUUCAGCCCCAAAAAGCAUGAAGAACCCAGAAAUAGUGCUGUACAAUUUGGGAACCUAUGCUAUUAUAUAGCUUUUGCCAGGUAUUAUAAGUUUUCUGGGUUGGAACUGAACUCUGUUGGACGGUUGAUCUGGGCACCCCUGUGUAAUCGCCUGAAAGGACCCUUAGGUUGAAUCCUGCAAUCCAUUAAGAUCCAGUCUCCCCAGUGCACACCGUAGGUGAAAUGGUGCACCACAAACUUCUGAUGCUGCAUUAAAGGAGUAUUUCACCCAAAAAUGAAAAAUUUGCUGAAAAUGUACUCCCAGUUUACACUUAGGCCAUCCAAGAUGUAGAUGAGUUUGUUUCUUCAUUAGAAAAGAGAUUUAGCAUUACAUCACUUGCUCACCAACACUGUAAUCCCAAACAGUUGUACUAGCUCAUAACUAAUAAGGUUAUAACAGUCAAAUGUCGUUAUGCAGUUGACCAAACUAUAAAGUUUUGAGCUCUGUUGAGAUUUGUGUCACUUUAAUUGAAUAGGGCUCAGUAUUUUAGAGUUAAUUUGUGUGUAACGCUCAAAAAGUUUAGGAACCAUGUAGUGACGUCAUGUUGGUGGGUGGGUCUUAUCGCUCCCUCAGGAAAGCUGAGUCAGCCAUCUUGAAUUUGCCUUGAUGCGGGGAAGUUUUGGCCAGCCCAUGUGGACGUGGAACACAGUUUAAUUUGUUUUUUAUUGUUUUUAUAUGUUUGGAAUGCGCACUUUUAUCCUCCCGCUUCAAACCACCACCACCUCAGUUAUUUUCAUUAGUCUUAUUGCUCUCAUUUCCUUAAGCGCUGUCUUAUCAGCCCUGAUUUGGCAAGUAACUCUAACGAUUUUUAUAUGUUAUAUAUAAAAUAUUUACAAAUCCAAGUAAUUGUAAUUUUAGAAGUUGUUGAAUGUGACAAAUGCGUUAACGUUAAGUUACCUUACUUAGUUCAUCUUACAACAGUGUAACGAGCGGGUUUCCUGGAUGAACUACAUUACCCAUAAUGCAUGUUUGCCCGGGACAUUGACGGUUGAGGAAGGUCCAUGAGUUUUGAAUUCUCUGGCGGAGUCCGAAAGCAUAACGUUAUCCCUGAUUCCCGCCGUUUUCUUUCGCUCGUUGUUUUCGCUGUUCGUCGUUAAUGCAUGUGCGUACUUUGAGUAUUACAUAUUUAAAUAAAUGUCUGCGUUACGCAGUAAAUAUUUCACGUUGGGUUAGGGUUAGGUAGAGACGUGUGUGAUCGCGUGUAACGAACAAUUCUAAACAACAUAAUGUGAGUGUGUUAUCAUGAUGCUAACCAGC
ensembl:lncRNA